rnacentral:lncRNA from 1 species
GUUGAUUAAUUAGUGUCUUAGUGUCGAAAAUUUGAAAACUUGAAAGAAUUUAAAAUACGAUCCCUCUUUGUAAAGAAAAUGCUCAAAUGUUAAGGACCUUCUCGUCUCACAAUAUAAAAUCUCACAUCCAGUAAGUUAGGACAUGACAUCUUGAAUUUUCGAGAGCGAGCUUGCCUUUUAUAUAAAAAUUCGUGUAUUUCAAAAGGUUAUUCAGUUAGUUAAGGUGAACGAGGAAAAUCGAAAUCCAGUAAGUUAGGGCACGUUUCCUCAAAU